GCGUCGGUGGCUCAGCAGUUAAGCACUUGACUUGUAAUCUGAUGGUCCUGGGUUCGAAUCCCGGCAUAUACA
rnacentral:tRNA from 1 species